GCCGGGAUAGCUCAGUUGGUAGAGCAAUUGAUUCGUAAUCAAUAGGUCGGCAGUUCGAGUCUGCUUCCCGGCUCCA
rnacentral:tRNA from 1 species